AGCAGUGGGGAAUAUUGGACAAUGGGCGAAAGCCUGAUCCAGCCAUGCCGCGUGUGUGAAGAAGGUCUUCGGAUUGUAAAGCACUUUAAGUUGGGAGGAAGGGCAGUUACUUAAUACGUGACUGUCUUGACGUUACCGACAGAAUAAGCACCGGCUAACUCUGUGCCAGCAGCCGCGGUAAUACAGAGGGUGCAAGCGUUAAUCGGAAUUACUGGGCGUAAAGCGCGCGUAGGUGGUUCGUUAAGUUGGAUGUGAAAUCCCCGGGCUCAACCUGGGAACUGCAUUCAAAACUGUCGAGCUAGAGUAUGGUAGAGGGUGGUGGAAUUUCCUGUGUAGCGGUGAAAUGCGUAGAUAUAGGAAGGAACACCAGUGGCGAAGGCGACCACCUGGACUGAUACUGACACUGAGGUGCGAAAGCGUGGGGAGCAAACAGGAUUA
rnacentral:rRNA from 1 species